CCUACGGGAGGCAGCAGUAGGGAAUCUUCCACAAUGGGCGAAAGCCUGAUGGAGCAACGCCGCGUGGGUGAAGAAGGUCUUCGGAUCGUAAAACCCUGUUGUUAGAGAAGAAAGUGCGUGAGAGUAACUGUUCACGUUUCGACGGUAUCUAACCAGAAAGCCACGGCUAACUACGUGCCAGCAGCCGCGGUAAUACGUAGGUGGCAAGCGUUAUCCGGAUUUAUUGGGCGUAAAGGGAACGCAGGCGGUUUUUUAAGUCUGAUGGGAAAGCCUUCGGCUAAACGGGAGACGUGAAUUGGAAAGUGGGAGACGUGAGUGCAGAAGAGGAGAGGGAAACUCUAUGUGUGGCGGUAAAAGG
rnacentral:rRNA from 1 species